GAUGAGAACGUAGCGAAAUGCGAUAAGUAAUGUGAAUUGCAGAAUUCAGUGAAUCAUCGAAUCUUUGAACGCACAUUGCGCCCGCCAGUAUUCUGGCGGGCAUGCCUGUUCGAGCGUCAUUUCAACCCUCAGGCCCCCAGUGCCUGGUGUUGGGGAUCGGCCCAGCCUUCCUGUAAGGCCGCCGGCCCCGAAAUCUAGUGGCGGUCUCGCUGUAGUCCUCCUCUGCGUAGUAGCACAACCUCGCAGUUGGAACGCGGCGGUGGCCAUGCCGUUAAACACCCCACUUCUGAAAGUUGACCUCGGAUCAGGUAGGAAUACCCGCUGAACUUAAGCAUAUCAAUAAGCGGAGGA
rnacentral:misc_RNA from 1 species